CGCAAGACGGAAGGAAGCGAAAGCAUUUGCCAAAAAUGUUUUCAUUAAUCAAGAACGAAAGUCAGAGGUUCGAAGGCGAUCAGAUACCGCCCUAGUUCUGACCAUAAACGAUGCCAGCUAGCGAUCCGCCGACGUUCCUCCGAUGACUCGGCGGGCAGCUUCCGGGAAACCAAAGCUUUUGGGUUCCGGGGGAAGUAUGGUUGCAAAGCUGAAACUUAAAGGAAUUGACGGAAGGGCACCACCAGGAGUGGAGCCUGCGGCUUAAUUUGACUCAACACUGGAAACCUCACCAGGCCCGGACACCGGAAGGAUUGACAGAUUGAGAGCUCUUUCUUGAUUCGGUGGGUGGUGGUGCAUGGCCGUUCUUAGUUGGUGGAGCGAUUUGUCUGGUUAAUUCCGAUAACGAACGAGACUCUGGCCUGCUAACUAGGCGAAACAAAUUACCGGCAUUCCAAUGGUUCGCGGUGUCCCCUCCGCGGGCCCGCCGACGGUCCGGUCGGGGCUCGUGCGGCUUUCACUGUCGGCGUACACAGUAAUCUUCUUAGAGGGACAGGCGGCUCCCAGCCGCACUAGAACAGAGCAAUAACAGGUCUGUGAUGCCCUUAGAUGUCCUGGGCCGACGCGCGCUACACUGAAGGAAUCAACGUGUCUUCCCUGGCCGAACGGCCCGGGUAACCCGCUGAACCUCCUUCGUGCUAGGGAUCGGGGCUUGCAUUUUUUCCCCGUGAACGAGGAAUUCCCAGUAAGCGUGAGUCAUAAGCUCGCGCUGAUUACGUCCCUGCCCUUGGUACACACCGCCCGUC
rnacentral:rRNA from 1 species